AUAAUACUCCCUCUAUCCGGAAUUACUUGUCAUAAAAAUGGAUGUGUCUAGAACUAAAAUACAUCUGGAUACAUCCAUUGCAAUGACAAGUAUUUUCGGACGGAGGGAGUAGUAG
rfam:Triticum aestivum genome assembly, contig: Triticum_aestivum_CS42_TGACv1_scaffold_288298_4AL